rnacentral:misc_RNA from 1 species
AUUUUCGUCACAAAAAAUAUGUCACAAAAAUUUGUUUUUCUCGUAAUGAAAUAACUAUAUAUGAUAUUUACCCACUAACAACUAUGUUUAGAACAAAAUUUUCAAAGGGGCUUUUGGACUUACCCCAUUGCUUUUGUUAGAGAAGGUGCCAAGCAAGUUCUAUCGACUUUUGGUAAAGUUUGAUCAAUUGCAUACAAAGUUGAAUGCAUUU